GUUGAGGGUGCUUGGUCCGGAGCUGCAGAGUUAAUUCAAGAGUUUCGCUUUAGGAAGCUCUCUGUCCACAGAGGUUGGAUGAGAUCAAUCAAAACACAGAAGAAACGAUAAAGAGGACCAAGGAUAGAUCCCCAGGAAGCACUAAGGCUGUGGCAGAUGAAUGGAAGCGCACAAAGUCUGAGGAAGAAUGGCCAGAGAGAUAAAAGAACUAGCUUAUGACCAGAAACUAUGGAUAUGGAUAUGAUACAGUUACUCAAGAAACUCACAGUUUUGGAAGGAAGAUAAACAUAAAAGUGAUGUGUAUUACAUAACUGGCUGUUUUCUCAUUUCACUCUGACUGCCAAGAAGCUCUGAGAAAUUUGUGGCUCAGCAUUAGUAACUGGAAGGACUCUUGACUUGCAUGUCUACAUUCUGUUGGUUUGAAAAUUUUCAAAAUUAAAAGCUGGGGGAAAUCUAAAUUCUUCUGCAUUUUCUAGAUUAUUGAUAUUAUACAUUUGUUUUAUAAUUAGAAAAAGUAAACCUUGUUUUUAAAAGAAAGGUUGCAUCUUUGCAUGCUUUCU
ensembl:lncRNA